GUCCCGAUAGCCAAUUGGUAGAAGCGCCUAGCAAUAACUGCCAGGAGGUCGCAGGAUCGAAGCCUGCCCGAGAUU
rnacentral:tRNA from 1 species